rnacentral:rRNA from 1 species
UCGGGAAUUUUGCACAAUGGCCGAAAGGCUGAUGCAGCAACGCCGCGUGAGCGAAGAAGGCCUUCGGGUUGUAAAGCUCUGUUGCCUGCGAAGAAGGGCCCUGUCAGGAAAUGGGCGGGGUUUGACGGUAGCAGGCGAGGAAGCCCCGGCAAACUACGUGCCAGCAGCCGCGGUAAUACGUAGGGGGCGAGCGUUGUCCGGAAUUACUGGGCGUAAAGGGCGUGUAGGCGGCCUGGUAAGUCAGGGGUGAAAGACCGGGGCUCAACCCCGGGGGUGCCUCUGAAACUGGCGCGCUUGAGUGCUCUAGAGGGCAGUGGAAUUCCCGGUGUAGCAGUGAAAUGCGUAGAGAUCGGGAGGAACACCAGUGGCGAAGGCGGCUGCCUGGGGGGUCACUGACGCUGAGGCGCGAAAGCUAGGGGAGCAAACAGG